GUGCUUACUUCAGCAGCACAUGUACUGAAAUUGGACCAACACAGAGAUGAUUAGCCUGGCCCCUGUUCAAGGAUGAUGUGCAAACGUGUAAAGUGUUCCCAGAAAAC